rnacentral:rRNA from 1 species
AACGAACGCUGGCGGCAUGCCUAACACAUGCAAGUCGAACGCUUCCGGGGCUUCGGUCCCGGGGGAGGUGGCGCACGGGUGAGUAGCGCGUGGGAACCUGCCCUGUUGUGGGGGAGUAACCGAGGGAAACUUCGGCUAAUACCGCAUACGCCCGGAGAGUGAUCUUCGGGGAAAGAUUUAUCGCAGCAGGAGGGGCCCGCGUCGGAUUAGCUGGUUGGUGGGGUAACGGCCCACCAAGGCGAUGAUCCGUAGCGGUCUGAGAGGAUGAUCAGCCACACUGGGACUGAGACACGGCCCAGACUCCUACGGGAGGCAGCAGUGGGGAAUAUUGGACAAUGGGCGCAAGCCUGAUCCAGCCACGCCGCGUG